rnacentral:lncRNA from 1 species
GUAAGUUAAAUGUUAAUUUGAAUUAUACAUCAGAUUUAUGAGGUCAUUUUGUAGCCCUAAUUAGUUGCCUUUGGAGGCAGGAAAGAAAUAACAAUUACAGUAUUUUAUUUAAUAAGCACUUAUAGAGUUCCAAGACCAGUUCUAAGCACUUUAAAAUAUUAACUCAUUCCUCAUAGCAACCCUGUGACAUAGAUAUUAUUAUUAUUAUUUCCAUUCUGUAGAGAAGGAAUUGAGGCAAUUGACAGAACUAAAAUUUGAAACCAGUCUAGCUCCAAAAUCUAGAAGUUUUGGGUUUCAUGGACUACCAUAGAAAAGUAUCAUAUACAGAAGAUAACAUCAAAAUUUACAAGAUGCACUAGAAAACAAACUACCAUUUAAGUGUCAACAUAUGCACCAAAAAGAGA